UGCUGGCUCAUUUCAUAUGUGU
rnacentral:miRNA from 1 species